AGUGAACGCUGGCGGUAGGCCUAACACAUGCAAGUCGAACGGCAGCACAGGAGAGCUUGCUCUCUGGGUGGCGAGUGGCGGACGGGUGAGGAAUACAUCGGAAUCUACCUUUUCGUGGGGGAUAACGUAGGGAAACUUACGCUAAUACCGCAUACGACCUACGGGUGAAAGUGGGGGACCGCAAGGCCUCACGCGAUUAGAUGAGCCGAUGUCCGAUUAGCUAGUUGGCGGGGUAAUGGCCCACCAAGGCGACGAUCGGUAGCUGGUCUGAGAGGAUGAUCAGCCACACUGGAACUGAGACACGGUCCAGACUCCUACGGGAGGCAGCAGUGGGGAAUAUUGGACAAUGGGCGCAAGCCUGAUCCAGCCAUACCGCGUGGGUGAAGAAGGCCUUCGGGUUGUAAAGCCCUUUUGUUGGGAAAGAAAUCCUGUCGAUUAAUACUCGGUGGGGAUGACGGUACCCAAAGAAUAAGCACCGGCUAACUACGUGCCAGCAGCCGCCGUAA
rnacentral:rRNA from 1 species